AGAGUUUGAUCCUGGCUCAGGAUGAACGCUAGCUACAGGCUUAACACAUGCAAGUCGAGGGGCAGCAUCAUCAAAGCUUGCUUUGAUGGAUGGCGACCGGCGCACGGGUGAGUAACACGUAUCCAACCUGCCGACAACACUGGGAUAGCCUUUCGAAAGAAAGAUUAAUACCGGAUGGCAUAGUUUUUCCGCAUGGGAUAAUUAUUAAAGAAUUUCGGUUGUCGAUGGGGAUGCGUUCCAUUAGGCAGUUGGCGGGGUAACGGCCCACCAAACCAACGAUGGAUAGGGGUUCUGAGAGGAAGGUCCCCCACAUUGGAACUGAGACACGGUCCAAACUCCUACGGGAGGCAGCAGUGAGGAAUAUUGGUCAAUGGACGAGAGUCUGAACCAGCCAAGUAGCGUGAAGGAUGACUGCCCUAUGGGUUGUAAACUUCUUUUAUACGGGAAUAAAGUUAGCCACGUGUGGCUUUUUGUAUGUACCGUAUGAAUAAGGAUCGGCUAACUCCGUGCCAGCAGCCGCGGUAAUACGGAGGAUCCGAGCGUUAUCCGGAUUUAUUGGGUUUAAAGGGAGCGUAGGCGGGUUGUUAAGUCAGUUGUGAAAGUUUGCGGCUCAACCGUAAAAUUGCAGUUGAUACUGGCGACCUUGAGUGCAACAGAGGUAGGCGGAAUUCGUGGUGUAGCGGUGAAAUGCUUAGAUAUCACGAAGAACUCCGAUUGCGAAGGCAGCUUACUGGAUUGUAACUGACGCUGAUGCUCGAAAGUGUGGGUAUCAAACAGGAUUAGAUACCCUGGUAGUCCACACAGUAAACGAUGAAUACUCGCUGUUGGCGAUAUACGGUCAGCGGCCAAGCGAAAGCAUUAAGUAUUCCACCUGGGGAGUACGCCGGCAACGGUGAAACUCAAAGGAAUUGACGGGGGCCCGCACAAGCGGAGGAACAUGUGGUUUAAUUCGAUGAUACGCGAGGA
rnacentral:rRNA from 1 species